rnacentral:rRNA from 1 species
CCUACGGGAGGCAGCAGUGGGGAAUAUUGGGCAAUGGGCGCAAGCCUGACCCAGCAACGCCGCGUGAAGGAAGAAGGCCCUCGGGUUGUAAACUUCUUUUAUCAGGGAUGAAACACAUGACGGUACCUGAUGAAUAAGCCACGGCUAACUCCGUGCCAGCAGCCGCGGUAAUACGUAGGUUGCAAGCGUUAUCCGGAUUUACUGGGUGUAAAGGGCGUGUAGGGGGGUCUGCAAGUCAGAUGGUAAAUCCCAUGGCUCAACCAAUGAACUGCAUUUGAAAAUGUAGAUGUUGGGUGUGGGAGAGGCAGGCGGAAUUCCGUGUGUAGCGGUGAAAUGCGUAGAGAUACGGAGGAACACCAGUGGCGAAGGCGGCCUGCUGGACAUUAACUGACGCUGCGGCGCGAAAGCGUGGGGAGCAAACAGGAUUAGAUACCCUUGUAGUC